UCCUCAGUAGCUCAGGGGUAGAGCGACCGACUGUUAAUCGGUUUGUCGUAGGUUCAAAUCCUACCUGGGGAG
rfam:Bacterium TMED277 isolate TMED277 42688, whole genome shotgun sequence.